GACAAAGGGUGGGAGGUAUUUUGCCCCGUUCGCGAGACGGCCCGAGACGGCUUUGGGCGAAAAGCCAAGCGGUUGAAGACGGAGGUGAGAGCUGAACGUGCGACGAGACCUGCUCGCCCUGCUCGCCCCCAAUCCCGCAUACACCACUACACACACGCACAGAUACCUGGCGAGGCGGCGCCGGUAGGCCUGGGCGGUGUUCGCUGCGGCCGUCUCGACGGAGAGCAAAGUAAGUGCUUCUGCGGCUGCAGUUGCUGCUGCUCCUGGUUAUGGUUGUGUUGGGGUUCGCGGCUCGUGACGCCUGGACUGCAGCGGACGCCUGACGCCGGUGGCGCCGACAGCGACGGCGUUGUUAGCCGGGGCUGCGGAGCGGCUGCCGAGGCGUCCGCAAAAGCGGAAGCCGCGGUCCCCAAUGCUGAAGCCGCCUCCUCGUCCCGCAGGCUCAGCUGGAUGGCUAGCGCCAGCUGCAAAUCGUCAUCCACGACCACCGACG
rnacentral:lncRNA from 1 species